GCAAGUCGAGCGGUAGAGAGGUGCUUGCACCUCUUGAGAGCGGCGGACGGGUGAGUAAAGCCUAGGAAUCUGCCUGGUAGUGGGGGAUAACGCUCGGAAACGGACGCUAAUACCGCAUACGUCCUACGGGAGAAAGCAGGGGACCUUCGGGCCUUGCGCUAUCAGAUGAGCCUAGGUCGGAUUAGCUAGUUGGUGAGGUAAUGGCUCACCAAGGCGACGAUCCGUAACUGGUCUGAGAGGAUGAUCAGUCACACUGGAACUGAGACACGGUCCAGACUCCUACGGGAGGCAGCAGUGGGGAAUAUUGGACAAUGGGCGAAAGCCUGAUCCAGCCAUGCCGCGUGUGUGAAGAAGGUCUUCGGAUUGUAAAGCACUUUAAGUUGGGAGGAAGGGCAUUAACCUAAUACGUUAGUGUUUUGACGUUACCGACAGAAUAAGCACCGGCUAACUCUGUGCCAGCAGCCGCGGUAAUACAGAGGGUGCAAGCGUUAAUCGGAAUUACUGGGCGUAAAGCGCGCGUAGGUGGUUCGUUAAGUUGGAUGUGAAAUCCCCGGGCUCAACCUGGGAACUGCAUUCAAAACUGUCGAGCUAGAGUAUGGUAGAGGGUGGUGGAAUUUCCU
rnacentral:rRNA from 1 species